GAAGAACGCUGGCUGCACGUUCAUCUCAUGCACUCUCUACCAGAACGUUGCGGGCCUCCGGUCGGGGCAACUACAGUGUUGGACGGGUUCGUAUCCCGUAUAUAACCUGCCCUCAAGCGUGGUACAAUCACCGUAAACCAUCGGCUAAUACCGCACGACUUCUGGACCCCGCAUGGGGACCACAUAAUAGCUUGGGGUUACCCAUGCGCCUUUGGAUGGGUCUGCCUUGGAUUAACUUGUUGGUGAGGCAUCCGCUCACCUAUGCCACGAUCCCUACCUGGUCUGAGAGGACCAUCAUCCCCUCUGGUACUGACACACUGCCCAAACUCCUACGGGAGGCAUCACUGGGGAAUCUUGCACAAUGGGGUCACCCCUGAUGCAACCAUGCCUCCUGUAGGAACACACCCCUAUGGGGCGUAAACUCCUUUUCUCAUCAAACAAACCCCUGUAUGUUCACGGCGCGACCGUAGUUCAAGAAUAACCUCCGGCUAACUCCGUGCCACCAUCCGCGGUAAUACAGAUGGUGCACGCUUUGUCCGGAAUCACUGGGUGUAAAGGGUGUGCUGGCGGGGCACCUAGUCUGAUGUGAAGCCCCAUGGCUUAACCAUGGAGGUGCAUUCGAAACUGUGACUCUUGAGUCCGGGAGAGGCUGUCGGAAUUCGUGCUGUAGCGGUGAAAUGCGUAGAUAUCACGAGGAACACCAGAGGCGAAAGCGGGCAGCUGGACGGGUAUUGACGCUCAGGCACGAAAGCGUGGGGAGCAAACAGGAUUAGAUACCAUGGUAGUCCACGCGGUAAACGAUGAACGCUCGCCGUUGCCCCGCUCAAGGGGCAGUGGAUAAGUUAACGCGUUAAGCGUUCCACCUGGGGAGUACGAUCGCAAGGUUGAAACUCAAAGGAAUUGACGGGGGCCCGCACAAGCGGUGGAGCAUGUGGCUCAAUUCGAUGCAACGCGAAGAACCUUACCUAGGCUCGAACGCUAGAGGACCGCUCGUGAAAGGGAGCUUCCCCUUUGGGGCCUCUAGCGAGGUACUGCAUGGCUGUCGUCAGCUCGUGUCGUGAGAUGUUGGGUUAAGUCCCGCAACGAGCGUAACCCCUGUUGCUAGUUACCAUCGGGUAGUGCCGGGGACUCUAGCGAAACUGCCUGCGCAAGCAGUGAGGAAGGUGGGGAUGACGUCAAGUCAUCAUGGUCUCUUACGCGUAGGGCUGCACACGUGCUACAAUGGCCGGUACAACGGGUAGCCACCUCGCGAGAGGGAGCGAAUCCCUGAAAACCGGUCCCAGUUCGGAUUGGCAGUCUGCAACUCGACUCCAUGAAGCAGGAAUCGCUCGUAAUCGCGGAUCAGCAAUGCCGCGGUGAAUCCGUUCCCGGGCCUCGACACACCGCCCGUCAAGCCAUGGAAGACGAGAGCACCCGAAGUCCGUGACUCAAAUCCGCCCAAGUGCCGGAGAGAGAGCGGCCGAAGGUGAGCUCAGUGCACUGGGGCU
rnacentral:rRNA from 1 species